CGGAUAGGUUUGCAAAAUCCCAGCUGAGAGGUUUGCCACGCAGAAGCAAGACACGGAAUCCUGGCGAUUAAAAGGGAGGAGGUUUUAAUCUGCGCUACCGGGUGAAGCUCACUGGUCCGAGGGUGGGCCAGGGAAGUUCGCGCCAAAAGGUGGCCUAGGUACUUCUUUUAUACAGCUGUUUAGUGAGGGGAGGGCGGAGGGCAUGAGAGAUGUGGAAUUCCUGCCUAGGGCUAAGGGUCUAGGAAGGCCCUAGGAAGGCGCCAGCUAGUCAGCUAUCUUUGUCACCAUCCACCUUGCAGAUGCUUGUAUCAGCUCUAGGCUUUCCCCCAGCCUCGACCUAACA